GGCUUCAAAUGGUGACUGAACUG
rnacentral:siRNA from 1 species